rfam:Brachypodium distachyon strain Bd21 chromosome 1, whole genome shotgun sequence.
UCAAUACUCCCUCUAUCCCAUAUUAAGUGACUCAAAUUUGUUUAAAUAUGGACGUAUCUAUAUACUAAAAUACUUCUAGAUACAUGCAAUAUUACAACACUUAAUAUGGGACGGAGGAAGUAUAUA